UGCAGUCGAGCGCUCACUUCGGUGGGAGCGGCGGACGGGUUAGUAACGCGUGGGAACGUACCCUUCUCUACGGAAUAGCCUCGGGAAACUGAGAGUAAUACCGUAUACGCCCUUUGGGGGAAAGAUUUAUCGGAGAAGGAUCGGCCCGCGUUAGAUUAGAUAGUUGGUGGGGUAAUGGCCUACCAAGUCUACGAUCUAUAGCUGGUUUUAGAGGAUGAUCAGCAACACUGGGACUGAGACACGGCCCAGACUCCUACGGGAGGCAGCAGUGGGGAAUCUUAGACAAUGGGCGCAAGCCUGAUCUAGCCAUGCCGCGUGUGUGAUGAAGGCCCUAGGGUCGUAAAGCACUUUCGCCAGGGAUGAUAAUGACAGUACCUGGUAAAGAAACCCCGGCUAACUCCGUGCCAGCAGCCGCGGUAAUACGGAGGGGGUUAGCGUUGUUCGGAAUUACUGGGCGUAAAGCGCGCGUAGGCGGAUCAGAAAGUAUGGGGUGAAAUCCCGGGGCUCAACCUCGGAACUGCCUCAUAAACUACUGGUCUAGAGUUCGAGAGAGGUGAGUGGAAUUCCGAGUGUAGAGGUGAAAUUCGUAGAUAUUCGGAGGAACACCAGUGGCGAAGGCGGCUCACUGGCUCGAUACUGACGCUGAGGUGCGAAAGUGUGGGGAGCAAACAGGAUUAGAUACCCUGGUAGUCCACACCGUAAACGAUGAAUGCCAGUCGUCGGCAAGCAUGCUUGUCGGUGACACACCUAACGGAUUAAGCAUCCCGCCUGGGGAGUACGGUCGCA
rnacentral:rRNA from 1 species